rnacentral:tRNA from 1 species
UAGGGAGACCAAACUUCGGUUGAGCUAACCCCAAUUUACAAGCCAACUGAGGUCAUCCCAGGUCGUGCGAGGAAUUGAGUAACUACUAGGCUUUCAAACUUUCGGUUCGGACUAAAGGGCUAUUAUCUCAGGUGGUUAGAGCGCACCCCUGAUAAGGGUGAGGUCCCUGGUUCAAGUCCAGGAUAGCCCACCUACUCUGUUAUCUGAGUUAGAUGGGGGUAUAGCUCAGUUGGUAGAGCGCUGCCUUUGCACGGCAGAAGUCAGCGGUUCGAGUCCGCUUACCUCCACUCUCUAUUAUUAAAAUAUAGAGAUGAACACAAGCAAUUUCAUAGGCUUUAUCUAAAGUGCAGCACCUAAAAUUCUAAUAAAAGAGGCUUUAGGAUGCUGGACGAAAGUUCAGUCAGAACCUGGAAAACUGCAUAGAGAAUCAGGCAAAAGGUAAGACCGUAACAGACUUUUCAAAUGAGA